CAGAGUUAGGGUCUCCAGGCCCGACCUCCAACCCAAUGUCUACCUUACCAUGUUGCUUUGGCGGGCCCGUCGUUCGUUCGACCGCCUCCGGGCCAGUGCCCGCCAGAAGCCCAACCAAAUUCUUCUAAACAAUUGCCGUCUAAGUAUACAAGCAAUAAAAUA
rnacentral:misc_RNA from 1 species